UUCAUUUGCUGGAUUUUUGACUUAAUAUUGGAUUACAUCUGUUCUAGGUUUUGCUCAAAGAGGACGAUCAGAGUCUGAUGGCAGCUCUGUGUGAGAACGUGCUGGCAGUCAACAUGUUACUGAGUGUCUUCUUUCUUCCCAGUGCUUUGGCUGGUUGUCCCAAUCCAGUCCUCUUUGCUGACACACCUGGGCAGAUUGAAGCACUGAGUGGAUCUUGUUUGCUACUGCCAUGCAGCUUUAAUUCAACGGAUUCCAGAUAUAACAGGACCAGAAGUAUUUAUGGAGUUUGGUUGAGAGGCACCAUAUAUUUUGAUG